UGGGGAAUAUUGCGCAAUGGGGGAAACCCUGACGCAGCGACGCCGCGUGCGGGAUGAAGGCCUUCGGGUUGUAAACCGCUUUCAGCAGGGGCGAAUCAAGACGGUACCUGCAGAAGAAGCGCCGGCUAACUACGUGCCAGCAGCCGCGGUAAUACGUAGGGCGCGAGCGUUGUCCGGAAUUAUUGGGCGUAAAGAGCUCGUAGGCGGCCUGUCGCGUCUGCUGUGAAAUCCCGGGGCUUAACCCCGGGCGUGCAGUGGAUACGGGCAGGCUGGAGGCAGGCAGGGGAGAACGGAAUUCCCGGUGUAGCGGUGAAAUGCGCAGAUAUCGGGAGGAACACCGGUGGCGAAGGCGGUUCUCUGGGCCUGUUCUGACGCUGAGGAGCGAAAGCGUGGGGAGCGAACAGGAUUAGAUACCCCCGUAGUCC
rnacentral:rRNA from 1 species